CUCUGCUUCUGGUGCUCUUUGUGCCAGUCCAAACUGGCUUGCUGUGGUCUCCUCGGUUUCCCAAAACAUCCCAGCUCCAGAGACAUUAGAGUCAGCUCCC